CUAUCAAAAUCAUUUUAUGUUGUUGUUUUUUUCCUUCAGAGAAACUAAUCGAAUGGGACAAAAAGAAUUCGACAAUUUAAAAGAAAACUUUCCGAUUGAAACAUAUCAAUUUUGAAUAGAAAUCUGCACAAUUCCAAUUAUGAGACCAGAAAACAAUUUUGAGAAUGAGCUUUUUAUUUAAUGUUUUCAAUGUUCUUUAAGACAGUUUCGAAAUAUACUUUAAAAUAUUAUUAAUAAACUCUGAGUUUGAUAUAAUAACAAA
rnacentral:sRNA from 1 species